rnacentral:rRNA from 1 species
GUAGGGAAUCUUGCGCAAUGGGCGAAAGCCUGACGCAGCCAUGCCGCGUGAAUGAUGAAGGUCUUAGGAUUGUAAAAUUCUUUCACCGGGGACGAUAAUGACGGUACCCGGAGAAGAAGCUCCGGCUAACUUCGUGCCAGCAGCCGCGGUAAUACGAAGGGGGCUAGCGUUGCUCGGAAUUACUGGGCGUAAAGGGCGCGUAGGCGGAUAUUUAAGUCGGGGGUGAAAGACCGGGGCUCAACCUCGGAAUAGCCUUCGAUACUGGAUAUCUUUAGUACGGGAGAGGUGUGUGGAACUCCGAGUGUAGAGGUGAAAUUCGUAGAUAUUCGGAAGAACACCAGUGGCGAAGGCGACACACUGGCCCGUUACUGACGCUGAGGCGCGAAAGCGUGGGGAGCAAACAGGAUUAGAAACCCGGGUAGUCC